GACGAACGCUGGCGGCGUGCUUAACACAUGCAAGUCGAACGGAAAGGCCCUGCUUUUGUGGGGUGCUCGAGUGGCGAACGGGUGAGUAACACGUGAGUAACCUGCCCUUGACUUUGGGAUAACUUCAGGAAACUGGGGCUAAUACCGGAUAGGAGCUCCUGCUGCAUGGUGGGGGUUGGAAAGUUUCGGCGGUUGGGGAUGGACUCGCGGCUUAUCAGCUUGUUGGUGGGGUAGUGGCUUACCAAGGCUUUGACGGGUAGCCGGCCUGAGAGGGUGACCGGCCACAAUGGGACUGAGAUACCGCCCCGACUCCUACGGGAGGCAGCCGUGGGGAAUAUUGCACCAUGGGCGGAAGCCUGAUGCAGCAACGCCGCGUGCGGGAUGACGGCCUUCGGGUUGUAAACCGCUUUCGCCUGUGACGAAGCGUGAGUGACGGUAAUGGGUAAAGAAGCACCGGCUAACUACGUG
rnacentral:rRNA from 1 species